rnacentral:lncRNA from 1 species
UUAUUACAAGCCAAGCACUUUACUGACUAAGCUGUCUCCCUAGCCCUCUCUCCAGACACUCACUGGAGGCUGAAGGAGCAUCUCUGGGGCCUGCUGUUCCUCUGUGCCACUGAGUCCUUUACAAGGUUACAAGAUGGUCCUUCUAGAAAAAUUGGUUAUUAAACAGACCAUCCUUUCACCAGCAGAAAGAGACCCUCCUUCUGUGACAUACCCCCAGACUAUCAGGCUUGACCGCCAUGUCAGCAUUUGGGUGGGAUCAUGUCAUAGUCUUAGAUUCUGCCUUCUUGCCAACAAGCGUCAUCAAAAUUUAAAAAGAAAGAAAGAAAGAAAGAAAGAAAGAAAGAAAGAAAGAAAGAAAGAAGGAAGGAAGGAAGGAAGGAAGGAAGGAAGGAAGGAAGAAGGAAAGAAAGAAAGAAAGAAAGAGAGAGAGAGAGAGAGAAAGAAAAGAAAAGAAAAGAAAAGAAAAGAACAGAACAGAACAGAAAAGAAAAGAAAAGAAAAGAAAAGAAAAGAAAAGAAAAGAAAAGAAAAGAAAAGAAAAGAAAAGAAAAGAAAAAACCAAAACACUGAUGGGCAUCACAGAGCAGGGUUGAGGUCAUAGGUCAGGCUGAUGUAUCUGGGACCCCCGACUAUGGUUUAAUCCUAGCCAGUGUCAUUCUGCAUUCAACCCAAGUGUUCUGGGAUCUCUGCUUCCUCCAGAGCACUAGCCUCUCACUCUAAGUAAUUUCUGGGUUAGAUGAAAAGGCCCCCAGUCUUUCCUCUGCCAGCAUGGGCUGUCCUGUGAAGCAGCUGCGCUAGGAGAGGCUGCUGUAAUUCUUACUGCAUAAUCAAUCCAAGGUGGUAGUGCCAAGGUAACGGGAGAGUGCCUGUGGCCAUCUGAGCAUCGUCGUGUGCUGGAUAGGAGUGCUGGCUGCUCCGUUGUUUGUACUUUGACCAAUUCCGUCACACAGCAACUUGAGCUGCAGGCGAGCCACUGCAGUCCUGGUCCCCCUGAGAGCAGCACAACCUGAACAAUAAGUAGCAUUCAUUCCUCCCUACAGAGAUGUCUGAUCCUGAGCAGGAAGGAGGGUAUAUUUCUUCCUCAUCCAUACCAUCUUGGUGAUGGGUGGAAGAGACCAGGACCAGAACUCUAUACUGCAGCUUUGUCCCCAGACUCUAUUGUCCCACUGAGGAGGGUGGCCAUGGUUCAGGAAGCACCCCCCACAAUUGAGCUCUGAAGUGAUAGAAGGUGGAGGAAGGGGGUGGAUUCCAGGCAGCGGGAAUCCAGAAUGUGAAGGCCUCGUGGGGUUAGGACAAAGGGUAACCUUAGGGAUCUAUAAAUUGCUCAGUGAGAAAGGGCAGAGGGUGCAAAGAGAGCUGCUACAGGAGACACUCGUAUUGCUAUUUGACAUCAGAGCUGUGGAGAUCCAGAAGCCCCUGACGCCAGAUGGUUAAGGUGUUAGUGGCUAGUAGGGACUUAUUCUAAAAAUUGCCCUGGUUAUGAGAAGAUCAGGUUACAAGGCAUCAAGAGUGGAUUCUGAGUGAGCAGUUGGGAGCCUACUGCAAUGGUCCAGGCAGGAGGCGGCGGUAACUUAGACUAGGGUGGUAACAAUGGAAUCAGGAGAAGAGCAAAGCUGAGAAAUAUCUAGGUCAAAAGUUCAGGACCGGCAGUGAUAGGAUGUGUUGAAGUGGAUGUGUUAUGGGUUGGAUACAGUUUGGCACUGGAUCUGUACUGAUAAAAACUCCAGGACUGAAAUUAAAAUUAGAAAAUUUUUUUUUGCAGAACUGGAAAUCCUAUUUUGUUUUAUGUAUGAGAGUUUUGCCUCUGUGUGUGUGUGUGUGUGUGUGUGUGUGUGUGUCUGAGAG